rnacentral:rRNA from 1 species
AUUGAACGCUGGCGGUAGGCCUAACACAUGCAAGUCGAACGAGUGGCGGACGGGUGAGUAAUGUCUGGGAAACUGCCUGAUGGAGGGGGAUAACUACUGGAAACGGUAGCUAAUACCGCAUACCAUCGGAUGUGCCCAGAUGGGAUUAGCUAGUCGGUGGGUGAAAGGCUCACCUCGGCGACGCUCCCUCGCUGGUCUGAGAGGAUGACCAGCCACACUGGAACAAUGACACGGUGCAGACGCAUACAGGAGUCAGCAGUGGGGAAUAUUGCAGAAUGGGCGCAAGCCGGAUGCAGCCAUGCCGCGUGUAUGAAGAAGGCCUUCGGGUUGUAAAGUACUUACAGCGGGGAGGCGUUACCCGCAGAAGAAGCACCGGCUAACUCCGUGCCAGCAGCCGCGGUAAUUC